UCCCCCUUGGUGUAAUUGGCAGCACGCAGGUUUUUGGGUCCUGUAGGUCCUGGUUCGAAUCCAGGUGGGGGAG
rnacentral:tRNA from 1 species